rnacentral:rRNA from 1 species
UACGUAGGGGGCGAGCGUUGUUCGGAUUCAUUGGGCGUAAAGGGUGCGUAGGUGGCGUCGUAAGUGGGGUGUGAAAUCCCGGGGCUUAACCCCGGGACUGCAUUCCAUACUGCGGUGCUUGAGGACUGGAGAGGAGACUGGAAUUUACGGUGUAGCAGUGAAAUGCGUAGAGAUCGUAAGGAAGACCAGUGGCGAAGGCGGGUCUCUGGACAGUUCCUGACACUGAGGCACGAAGGCCAGGGGAGCAAACGGG